UACAGAGGUCUCAAGCGUUUGUUCGGAUUCAUUGGGCGUAAAGGGUGCGUAGGCGGCGUGGUAAGUCGGGUGUGAAAUCUCUGGGCUUAACCCAGAAAGGUCAACUGAUACUGGCGGGCUAGAGUGCAGGAAGGGGCAACUGGAAUUCUCGGUGUAGCGGUGAAAUGCGUAGAUAUCGAGAGGAACACCUGCGGCGAAGGCGGGUUGCUGGGCUGACACUGACGCUGAGGCGCGAAAGCUAGGGGAGCGAACGGG
rnacentral:rRNA from 1 species